UUGUUAUUUGCUCUACUGAAGGGCCUCCAGUUGAUUUCAUAAAUCCUAUAAACAAAGUUGAUGUAGAUAUCAUCUCUACAAAUUCUGAAUCACCUUUGAAGUACUAUAACUCAAAGGUACUAUACAUUUUUUUUCCUUUUGAAGUACUAUAUAUAUAUAUAUAUAUAUAUAUAAUACCACUUUAUUUCUUAAUUGAUUAACAGGUUCAUGCUGCUGCUUUUGCUUUGCCAACUUUUGCUGAAAAGGUGCUUUUCCCUAAAAAGUGAUUCUUAUUGGAAGAUGUAGAAAUUUCAAGUAUCUUUUUUCUGUUCCAAUAAAAUUGAUAGGCGAUGACCAAUUGCAAAUUUAAUUUUCUUGUAAUAAAUGCUUAAUGCAUUAAUAGUAGUGAGGGUGGACGUUUGGGCCAUUUGAAUCGAAUAUCUGAAAAUUUCAAUUUGAAUUUUCUGUUUUCGAAUUGAAGAAAUUACCAUUGGUGUAUUUUAUGUUUGUAUCUCAAAAAUGUUUUAAUUUUUUCGAGACUCAACAAACUUUACGCCUAUUUUUCCUCAAAAUGGUUCUCAAAUGAUUUUGAGUUUCUAGUUCAACACAUGC
rnacentral:lncRNA from 1 species